UACAGAGGUCCCGAGCGUUGUUCGGAUUCACUGGGCGUAAAGGGUGCGUAGGUGGUUAGGUAAGUCCGAUGUGAAAUCUCCAGGCUCAACCUGGAAAUGGCAUUGGAUACUAUUUAGCUUGAGGAGUGGAGGGGGGACUGGAAUUCUCGGUGUAGCAGUGAAAUGCGUAGAUAUCGAGAGGAACACCAGUGGCGAAGGCGAGUCCCUGGACACUCCUGACACUGAGGCACGAAAGCUAGGGGAGCAAACAGG
rnacentral:rRNA from 1 species